rnacentral:rRNA from 1 species
UACGGGAGAAAGCAGGGGACCUUCGGGCCUUGCGAUAUCAGAUGAGCCUAGGUCGGAUUAGCUAGUUGGUGAGGUAAUGGCUCACCAAGGCUACGAUCCGUAACUGGUCUGAGAGGAUAAUCAGUCACACUGGAACUGAGACACGGUCCAGACUCCUACGGGAGGCAGCAGUGGGGAAUAUUGGACAAUGGGCGAAAGCCUGAUCCAGCCAUGCCGCGUGUGUGAAGAAGGUCUUCGGAUUGUAAAGCACUUUAAGUUGGGAGGAAGGGCAUUAACCUAAUACGUUAGUGUUUUGACGUU